GAGACUAUAGCUUAGUGGUAGAGCACGUGCUUUGCAUGCACAGGGUCUUGGGUUCAAUCCCCAGUACUUCUA
rnacentral:tRNA from 1 species